CAGUAGCCGCGGGAAUACGUAUGUCGCGAGCGUUAUCCGGAAUUAUUGGGCAUAAAGGGCAUCUAGGCGGCCGGAUAAGUCUGGGGUGAAAACUUGCAGCUCAACCGCAAGCCUGCCCUGGAAACUAUGCGGCUAGAGUACUGGAGAGGUGGACGGAACUGCACGAGUAGAGGUGAAAUUCGUAGACAUGUGCAGGAAUGCCGAUGAUGAAGAUAGUUCACUGGACGGUAACUGACGCUGAAGUGCGAAAGCUAGGGGAGCAAACAGGAUUAGAUACCCCGGUAGUCCCUGUCUCUUAUAA
rnacentral:rRNA from 1 species